CAAUCUGCUAUCUACAUUAGUAGAUGAAUUUUGGAACUUUCGGAAUAUAACGACGACCGCGCGUGACGUAGUUGCGGAACAUUUUCGUCAGAGGGAGCCACAAUAGCGUAGCGGCAGAUCCGUUACGCACAACGGCACAAUAUCGAAACCGGUCGGAGACCCGAACUUGUAUUGCUAACUGGCUCGGAGCAGCGCCUUUGCACAACCUCUUUUUUUCUUGGUUUUCUUUAUACUUUUAGGGCCGGUGUAACAAUCAUCAGUUUUGUUUCGAUUACGAUUUAAUGUUCCGUAAAAAAAAACUGCCUGUAUUAAAAAACUUCCGUGACGCUAAAAAGAGUCAAUUACGUUUCGGUUUACUUAUCGACCGAUGUCGAAUAUGAUUGCAGUUCGUUAAAGCUUUUGAUUAGCAGCUGGGUUCGUGUGUUUACU